rnacentral:rRNA from 1 species
UAAAUUUAUAUUAUUUUUUUGUAGCAAUAAAAUUAUAAAUAUAGAUUUAGAAAUUAAAUGUAAACGAACUUAUUAAUAUCUAGUUUUUUUAGAAUAAAUUUAAUUUAGAUAUAAUUAUUUUUAGUAAAUUAAAUUUUAUUUUAAUUUAUUAAUUUUUAUAUUAAAAAUUUAUGGGAUAAUCUAUAAAUUUAAGAUAAAAAUUUAAUUUUAAUUUUUAAUGUUAUAGAGAUAAUAUUUUUCUUUAAUUUUAAUAAUUUAAUAAUUUAAUAUUUAUAAAUUAAUAAUGAUUUAAAUUUAUAUUUUAUUUUUCUAUAAAAAUUUAUAUUUUAAUUAAUAAAAUAUAGAAAUAAUGAUUAGAUUAGUAAUAAAGUUAUAUUUUAUAAUGAUAUUUUGUAUUAUAUAAUUUAAAGGAAUUCGGCAAAUAUAUUAUUCACCUGUUUAUCAAAAACAUGUCCUGUUGAUUAUAAUUUUAGGUCGAUCUGCUCAAUGAAUUAUUUUAAAUAGCUGCAGUAUGUUGACUGUACAAAGGUAGCAUAAUAAAUUGUCUUUUAAUUGAAGAAUUGUAUGAAAGAAUUAAUGAAAUAAUAACUGUCUCUAAAUUAUUAAAUGAAUUUAAAUUUUUAGUUAAAAUUCUAAAAUUUAAUUAUGGGACGAUAAGACCCUAUAGAAUUUAAUUUAAUUUUUAAAUUUAUUUAUAAUUUUAAUAAAUAUAUUUAAGAUUAAAUUUGAUUGGGAGGAUUGGUAAAUUUAAUAAACUUUAUUUAAGAUUUAAUUUUGAUAUAAAGAUAAUUUUUUGAAUUAUAAAUUGUAAUUAAAAGAAUAAAUUACCUUAGGGAUAACAGCGUAAUAUCUUUUGAUAGAUCAUAUAGAUAAAGAUGUUUGCGACCUCGAUGUUGAAUUAAGAUGAAAAUU